rnacentral:rRNA from 1 species
GACGAACGCUGGCGGCGGGCUUAACACAUGCAAGUCGAACGGAAAGGCCCCGCUUUUGUGGGGUGCUCGAGUGGCGAACGGGUGAGUAACACGGGAGUAACCUGCCCUUGACUUUGGGAUAACUUCAGGAAACUGGGGCUAAUACCGGAUAGGAGCUCCUGCUGCAUGGUGGGGGUUGGAAAGUUUCGGCGGUUGGGGAUGGACGCGCGGCUUAUCAGCUUGUUGGUGGGGUAGUGGCUUACCAAGGCUUUGACGGGUAGCCGGCCUGAGAGGGUGACCGGCCACAUUGGGCCUGAGAUACGGCCCAGACUCCUACGGGAGACAGCAGUGGGGAAUAUUGCACAAUGGGCGGAAGCCUGAUGCAGCAACGCCGCGUGCGGGAUGACGGCCUUCGGGUUGUAAACCGCUUUCGCCUGUGACGAAGCGUGAGUGACGGUAAUGGGUAAAGAAGCACCGGCUAACUACGUG